rnacentral:rRNA from 1 species
CGACAAGUGUCGACAUUGUUCAUCGGCGCCGUUCACAUCCGAGUUGGCAUCGUCGGCUUCUGGCCCGCUGACCAGUUGGUUGCGAAUCAUUUGCAGCAUUUGAUAGAAGCUGUACAACGGGAAGCUUGAUGUGACCAUGUUGGACGGUAUGGCGACAAGUGCAUUCGGCUCUUGUGGACUGUUCAGCGCUUCACGCAGUUCACCAACACUGGUUGUCAUAUCGAUCAGUCGACUCGGAACCAUGACCGUGUCUUUCAUCCGUCCGCUGGACAGCGGUCAAAAAAUUGUCAAGCGCUUUGACAAUUGAUCUGGUCGUACAUUCACCUUGACUGAGGCACAGAACCUGACCACGACCGCCGUUAUUGUUUAGCCGAUCCAUUGGAAUUGACAACGAUGAUGCGGGCCUUUUCUUUAUUAUCUGUCUAUCUGAGCGAUUCUGCCUGCUUGUUGUUUAAAGUUUAAACUUGCCUCAAGCGCUCGUUGUUUGCUGCUCGUCGUCGGCCAACAGAAACCUCAACUAGCCGUACCAAGCCAAACCGAGCCGUUGACUAUCUGCUUCUCACCGUAGCCGGCGCGAUGCUGCUGAUCUUUCUCUGGUCAAGAUGCUUUUAUCAAUUUUCCAAUCGUUCAGCAGCUGAAGGCUGCUGAAACUUAAAGGAAUUGACGGAAGGGCACCACCAGGAGUGGAGCCUGCGGCUUAAUUUGACUCAACACGGGAAAACUCACCCGGCCCGGACACUGGAAGGAUUGACAGAUUGACAGCUCUUUCUUGAUUCAGUGGGUAGUGGUGCAUGGCCGUUCUUAGUUGGUGGAGCGAUUUGUCUGGUUAAUUCCGAUAACGAACGAGACUCUACCCUAUUAAAUAGUGACAGUAUUGUAUUUUUUGUGCUGAUCACUUCUUAGAGGGACUGGCAAAUUGAAAGCUGCACGAAAAAGAGCAAUAACAGGUCUGUGAUGCCCUUCGAUGUCCGGGGCUGCACGCGCGCUACAAUGAAAGCGUCAACGUGAGUUACGUCCUUACCUGAAAAGGUUUGGCAAUCGAAUGAAACGUUUUCUUGAAUGGAAUAGGGAAUUGCAAUUGUUUCCCUUGAACGAGGAAUUCCCAGUAAGCGUGAGUCAUUAGCUCGCGUUGAUUACGUCCCUGCCCUUUGUACACACCGCCCGUCGCUACUACCGAUUGGAUGAUUUAGUGAGGUGUUUUGACUGGCGCCAGUAGUCGGAUAUGUAUUCGGCUUCGCGCCGGGAAAUUUCCCAAACCAAAUCAUCUAGAGGAAGUAAAAGUCGUAACAAGGUUUCCGUAGGUGAACCUGCGGAAG